rnacentral:rRNA from 1 species
GGGUUAAGUCCCGCAACGAGCGCAACCCCUAUUGCUAGUUACCAUCAUUAAGUUGGGGACUCUAGCGAGACUGCCAGUGAUAAACUGGAGGAAGGUGGGGAUGACGUCAAAUCAUCAUGCCCCUUAUGACCUGGGCUACAAACGUGAUACAAUGGCUGGAACAAAGGGAUGCGAAGCAGUGAUGUGGAGCGAAACCCAUAAAAACAGUCUCAGUUCGGAUUGAAGUCUGCAACUCGACUUCAUGAAGUCGGAAUCGCUAGUAAUCGCGGAUCAGAACGCCGCGGUGAAUACGUUCUCGGGGUUU